AUGUCCCAGUGUCACCCUUGGGGUCCCAGUGCCACCCUGGAUGUCCCAGUGUCACCCUUGGGGUCCCUGUGUCACCCUGGGGGUCCCAGUGCCACCUUUGGGGUCCUCAGUGUCACCCUUGGGGUCCUCAGUGUCACCCUUGGGGUCCCUGUGUCACCCUGGGGGUCCCAGUGCCACCUUUGGGGUCCCUGUGUCACCCUUGGGGUCCCUGUGUCACCCUUGGGGUCCCCAGUGCCACCUUUGGGGUCCCUGUGUCACCCUGGAUGUCCCCAGUGUCACCCUUGGGGUCCCAGUGUCACCCUUGGGGUCCCUGGGCCACCCUGGAUGUCCCCAGUGCCCCCUGGCUGUCCCCUGUGUCACCCUGGAUGUCCUCAGUGUCACCUUCGGGGUCCCUGUGUCACCCUGGGGGUCCCAGUGCCACCCUGGCUGUCCCCGGUGCCCCCCGGUGCCCGGGGGUUGGCGCAGGCCGUGGACAAUGAAGCCCCGCGGUGCCACCUCGGUGUGUCCCCAGUGCCAGCCUUGGUGUCCUUGUGUCAUUUCGGGGGGUCCCCGGGGGCCCUGGGCCACCUUCCCUGUCCCCGGUGCCACCCUUGGGGUCCCCAGUGUCACCCUUGGGGUCCCCAGUGUCACCCUUGGGGUCCCUGUGCCACCCUUGGGGUCCCAGUGUCACCUUUGGGGUCCCUGGGCCACCCUGGAUGUCCCCAGUGCCACCCCGGGGCCCAGUUCCCAUUCCCAGUCCAAUCCCAUUUCCCAUUCCCGGUUCCCAGUUCCCAUUCCCGGUUCCCAGUUCAAUCCCAGUCCAACCCUUUCCCCACUGCCCCAUUCCCAGUUCAAUCCCAGUUCCCAGUUCCCAGCCCCAAUAUCCCAGGAAUUCCCAUUCCCAGUUCCCAGUUCAAUCCCAGUUCCCAUUCCCAGUUCCCAGCCCAAUCCCAGUUCCCAGUUCCCAUUCCCAGUUCCCAGCCCCAAUAUCCCAGGAAUUCCCAUUCCCAGUCCAAUCCCAGUUCCCAGUUCCCAUUCCCAGUUCCCAUUCCCAGUUCCAGCCCCAUUUCCCGGGAAUUCCCAUUCCCAAUCCAAUCCCAGUUCCCAGCCCCAGUUCCCAGUCCAAUCCCAGUUCCCAUUCCCAGUUCCAGCCCCAUUUCCCGGGAAUUCCCAUUCCCAAUCCCAGUUCCCAAUUCCCAGUUCCCAGUUCCAUCCCAGUUCCCAUUCCCAUUCCCGGUUCCCAGUUCCCAUUCCUGGUUCCCAGUUCAAUCCCAGUCCAACCCUUUCCCCACUGCCCCAAUCCCAGUUCAGUCCCAGUUCCCAUUCCCAGUUUCCCGGGAAUUCCCAUUCCCACUCCCAUUUCCCCGUUCAAUCCCAGUUCCCAUUCCCAUUCCCCGGGAAUGCCCAUUCCCAGUCCAAUCCCAGUUCCCAAUUCCCAGUUCCCAGCCCCAGUUCAGUCCCAUUCCCAUUCCUGGUUCCCAAUUUCCCAGGAAUUCCCAUUCCCAUUCCCAGUUCAAUCCCAGUUCCCAUUCCCAUUCCCAGUUCCCAGUUCAGUCCCAGCUCCCAUUCCCAGUUCCCGGAAAUUGCCAUUCCCAGUCCAAUCCCAGUUCAGUCCCAGUUCCCAUUCCCAGUUCAGUCCCAGUUCCCAUUCCCAUUUCCCGGGAAUUCCCGUUCCCAUUCCCAGUCCAAUCCCAGUUCAGUCCCAGUUCCCAUUCCCAUUCCCAGCCCCAUUUCCCGGGAAUUCCCAAUUCCCAUUCCCAUUCCCAGUCCAAUCCCAGUUCCCAGCCCCAGUUCAAUCCCAGUUCCCAUUCCCAUUCCAAUUCCUGGUUCCCAAUUUCCCGGGAAUUCCCAUUCCCAUUCCCCAGUUCAAUCCCAGUUCCCAUUCCCAAUUUCCCGGGAAUUCCCAUUCCCAUUCCC
rnacentral:lncRNA from 13 species